rnacentral:rRNA from 1 species
UACGUAGGGGGCAAGCGUUGUCCGGAAUCAUUGGGCGUAAAGAGCGUGUAGGCGGCCCGAUAAGUCCGCUGUGAAAGUCCAGGGCUCAACCCUGGGAUGCCGGUGGAUACUGUCGGGCUCGAGUCCGGAAGAGGAGUGUGGAAUUCCUGGUGUAGCGGUGAAAUGCGCAGAUAUCAGGAGGAACACCAAUGGCGAAGGCAGCACUCUGGGACGUGACUGACGCUGAGACGCGAAAGCGUGGGGAGCGAUCCGG